AAAAUUUUGUGAAUAAUGAAACAAACGAAAAUUUAGAUUGCUUACUGCCUUGAACUGAUUUUUGUAUAUUUUUUUCGUUUUUAUUGUUUACCUCACGACGGCACAUUCUUGAGCUUCUACAAUGUCCGGUCCGAGACCCCCGUCGUUUCUCGGUUUUGAAAAUUAAAGGUCGCUGUUUUA
rnacentral:ribozyme from 1 species